UCUGAAACGUGGAAGUACUCGCGAAAGUGCUUUGGCUAACUGAAAGAUAUUUUAGUGAUUGUUUUUUAGGUCCUGAGGUCUUGUAUCUUGAGCGAGCUGCCGGAGCGAGGGGCCUCUCUUCGCGCGCUGAAGCUGAGAACGAAUCCCCGUCUGAUGUAUGUGUCCCGGCGUCCGAUGAGUUACACGCGAACCCCGUGGAAAAACUUCACCGUCUGCGUGCGUAAGCUGGAGGGACGCAGGGACUACGCGAUCUGCCCCAGCGAGCCAGGAGACCAUCGCUUUCAACACAUACAGUAGAGAACUCAGCUGAAAACACUAGAAACCGUGGGGUAGUGAUACGGCUCGGGGACUUGAGUAAGUUCUUCCAUCUGGUGGUGUUCUUAGCUUGAAAGCGAGUAAC